GGACAGAUGCCAGAGUGGUCGAAUGGGCUCGCCUGGAAAGCGAGUGUGCCGGCAACGGUACCGAGGGUUCGAAUCCCUCUCUGUCCGCCA
rnacentral:tRNA from 1 species